CAAUUUGUUGUGGACAGAUCCAAUGCACAUGGGUGUCGAUUCCACCCGCAGUCAAAAUGAGUUUUUCUCCCGCAAUGACAUCGGUGUUGGCACCAACAAUCAUAUUGGGAUCGACAUCGUUCAUCAUGUCGGGAUUGCCUGCCUUGCCAAUACCCACAAUUCGAUUCCCUUUGAUCCCGACAUCGGCCUUGUACAUGCCAAACAGUGCCUUAGAAAAUCAUUUUGCAAGCACUUUCAACGACGUCAUCUCGAAAUUUG